ACUUAAAAUUUAAAAGACUUGACGGUACCUCACAACAAUCUAGAGGAGCCAGUCUAAUAACCGAUACCCCACGAUCAACCCGACCCCCUCUAGCCUAACAGUCUAUAUACCGCCGUCGCCAGCCUACCUUAUGAAAGAAACAAAGUAAGCUAAAUAGUCAAACUCUAACACGACAGGUCGAGGUGUAGCUAAUGAGAGGGCCCAAGAUGGGCUACAUUUUCUAAUACAGAAAAUACGAAUAAACUAUGAAACAAGAAACUGAAGGCGGAUUUAGCAGUAUAUUAAGAACAAAAUACAUAAUAGAAACUAAAGCAAUGAAGUGCGUACACACC
rnacentral:rRNA from 1 species